AUCCCAUGCACAAACCCAGGUAUAACCUCAACAAAAUCAAUACAUCCCAACCCAGGUCAUUCCAACAAAUGUCAUCAGCAAUUGUAGAUACAAGACAGCAAAAUGCUCAAAUCGAUUAUCUACCUCGCGCACAACAAACUGAAUUAAUGCCUCCAUGGCACAGGCAUAUCUGCUUCUCACUCGGCUUUUCAUAUUUCAUAAAUAUUUAAUGUUAGGUUGUCAUAAUACAAAUAGGUUUAAUUAGCUCGUCAAGACUAACUAAUUGCAAGUCCAUGGCAUCACUAUCACUCGAGGAUGUUUGCUCAUCUGCUAAAUUGCUAUUUUCUCCAGUAUCAUCACCAACAUCAAGGUAGAUAUAAUCAGGAAUGCUUCCUUCAAAGCAAAUCUUAGCAUUAUCUUGUGCUGAAUGCUUUUCAGACACUGCAGUUCCAAGUUCAGAGAGAUUUAUAUGCAUUGAACCAAAGUAUCGCCCUUGGGCGUUCUUCUUCUCUCGUGAUUUCUUGUUUUUCCUUCCCUUGCUUCUGUUCUUGGAAUGGUGAAGCUUGCAUUUGGACCCUUGAGGACAGGAUCCUGUCACUUUGUAGGUGGGGCAGACGUAGCUGUGCUUCUUCCGACACUCAUUGCCAUGAGCACAAUAUCCCCUCAAAAAUCCUUCACAAGUAGAUGCAUUUGGAUUCACAUGCACAUGCCUGUAUGGGCAAUUUUUAUUGGUGCAAAGACCUUGCAAAUAGUAAGAGCAAUCUGGCAUCCUUUCUGGAAUCACCUACAAAAUAAACAUAUUCAAGGGGUAAUGUCAACACCACCACUAAAUCAGCCAUCCCUUUGAACAGAGAACAGCAAGAUCUUUUUGCCAUGUCUUUUAUAACCUUGUGAGUCAAUUUGCAGUCUGAAUUAAAACAUAAACCAUUUAGAAACUUUGUGCAGACAGCAAUUUUGGAGGAAUCAUGAAUGUAAGGGCAUUUUCCAUCGUCUUUGUUGCAUUUCCCAAAUCUUGUGAAAAAUUGACAAUACUUUCGCUUUCUAGCUAAUUGUGAUCUAGCAGUGUGCAAACUCCAUCGAACUUUCUCACUUGCCAAAAGACGAGUUCGUUUCUUGGGAUCUCUAACAAGUUGGUUGUCAUUGCCAAUUCGAACAUAUCUGCCAAUAGUGAAAUUCAUUUAUGCUCAACUAGUAAAGUAACCGACUAAUUGAAAUGACUCGUGUAUGGCUUUGAAAAAUCUAGUUUACAAAGUCUCCUGCAUUAACUGCAAUCAACUAGCAAAAUAUGGCAGCCAAUCCUUAUGAAGAAGACAUACUCAUCAGUGCCGAUCACUAAUCUCCUUGGUACAUAGGGUCUCUUAGAAUCUUUCUCUGUUUGAAAAGCUGCUGAGUAUGAUGACUCAUUAUCUGAUAUCCUCUGAAGGGUCUGCCUUGAGGAAUCCAUUUUGUAGCGAAAUGAACCAAUU
rnacentral:misc_RNA from 1 species